rfam:Delta proteobacterium MLS_D scaffold_6, whole genome shotgun sequence.
AUGACCGACGCUAAGACCGCGGACGCGCAAGCGGGCUAUGAAUCAGCGGUGAGUUCCGUCAUGGUGGCUCUCGCGGGCGGUAAUUUCAUUCACGACGCCG